rnacentral:rRNA from 1 species
GACGAGGGAUCCUAGCGUUGUUCGGAAUUACUGGGCGUACAGGGCUCGUAGGUUGCCAACUAAGUCGGACGUGAAAUCCCUCAGCUUAACUGGGGAACUGCGUCCGAUACUGGAUGGCUUGAGUUUGGGAGAGGGAUGCGGAAUUCCUGGUGUAGCGGUGGAAUGCGCAGAUAUCAGGAGGAACACCGGUGGCGAAGGCGGUUCUCUGGGCAUUACCUGACGCUGAGGAGCGAAAGUGUGGGGAGCGAACAGG